AGGCACACCAAUCUAGCUAAUCAGUGUCAAGCUUCGCUGCCACAAACGUACAUGACAAGGUCAUCCUGGAAGAUCCCAGAAUUGUGUUGAUGAGGAAGGCAGAUAAAGACUACCUCAGACUCUGUUUUCGGUCCCUCCAACAGUGCCUUUGACAACAAUUGCUCUAUGGGACAAACCCUGAAUGGAAAAGGUUCCAGGAACGCAUAAAUAAGGCCAAACUAAGCCGGUACUUCUAGUUGUGUUGGAAGAACCAACUGGAUGGAUACGCUAAGAAGGCAGUGUCAUCUGUCAAGAAAAGCUUCCUUGGCUACUGCUGGAAUCUCUGGAGCUGUACUGUUAAAAACACUGACCUGGAGGUCUCCCAGAGCUGGAGUUGUGGUCAAAGGUUCUUCAUCCACUUGAGAACAUAAAUCACUGUUUUUCAAACUUGGCAACUGCAGUUUUCAUGCCUCCUGGGGAAUUCUGGGAGCUGAAGUCCA